GAGCGGGGCGGGUCUGUCCUCGGGGGCGGAGUUGGAAACGUGUCCCUGCGGGAGGACGCGGCCCACCGUAGAGCAGAAUUGGACUCUGGCUGCCGCUCCGGCUGAGCUCGGGAGUAGGCCGAGGCUUGACACCAUGCUGGACUUCGCGAUCUUCGCUAUCACUUUUGUGGUGUUCCUGAUGGGCGCAGUGUUGUACCUGUACCCGGCAUCCAGGCAAGCAUCUGGCAUUCCAGGAAUGACGCCUACAGAUGAGAAGGAUGGGAAUCUUCCAGAUAUUGUGAGCACUGGCAGUCUUCAUCAGUUCCUGGUAAAUCUUCAUGAAAAAUAUGGAUCCAUUGUAUCUUUCUGGUUUGGACAACGGCUGGUGAUAAGUUUGGGUUCCUUGGACCUCUUGAAAGAGCACAUCAAUCCAAACCGGACGUCUGAUCCAUUCGAGACCAUGCUGAAAUCACUGCUAGGAUACCAGGCUGGGUUUGGAGGUAGUGCUGCUGAGAGUCAUGCAAGGAAGAAAGUUUACGAGGCUGCAGUGAAUAAAGCAAUCCAGAGCAACUUCACCCUUAUUCUGAAGCUAGCUGAUGAGUUGGUUUCAAAGUGGCUUUCAUAUCCUGAAUCCCAGCACGUUCCGCUGUGUCAGCAUUUGUUGGGCUUUGCCAUGAAGUCUGUCACACAGACAGCAAUGGGUAGUCGCUUUGAAAGUGAUCAAGAAGUAAUUCGCUUUCGGAAGGAUCAUGAUUCGAUUUGGUCUGAGAUCGGGAAAGGAUUUUUGGAUGGAUCACUUGAUAAAAGCUCCCCCAGGAAGGAACAUUUUGAAGCAGCUCUUGGGGAAAUGGAAGCUACACUGAAGAAGGUGGCAACGGAAAGGAAGGGGGAAAGCACCAGUCGCCAAGUGUUCAUGGAUUUCUUGCUGCAGGGUGACGCGAGUGAGAAACAGGUGCUGGAGGACAGUAUGAUCUUCUCACUGGCUGGAACUGUAAUUACAGCAAAUUUGUGUAUUUGGGCCACAUACUUUCUGGCCACAUCCAAAUCGGUGCAGGAGAAGCUAUAUCAAGAAAUAAACCAGGUUCUGGGGAAGAGCCCACUAAAUUUUGACAAGCUGCAGGAACUAAGGUACUGCCAGCAGAUUCUAAAUGAGACAGUCCGAACGGCUAAACUGACCCCAGUUGCAGCUCGUCUCCAAGAAUUGGAGGGCAGCAUCAAUCAACACCUCAUCCCAAAAGAGACUCUUGUUAUUUACGCCCUGGGAGUAGUGCUUCAGGAUGACGCUUCAUGGCACUUACCUUACAGAUAUGAUCCUGCAAGGUUUAAUGAUGAAGCAGCCAAGAAACAGUUUACAUUAUUGGGAUUUUCUGGAAGUCAGGAAUGCCCAGAACUCAGGUUUGCUUACACAGUGGCUACAAUAAUGUUGACCACACUGGUCAAGAAGCUGAAUCUGCACCCCGUGGAAGGCCAGGUGGUGGAAAUGAAAUAUGACCUGGUAACUACCCCAAAAGAGGAGGCUUGGAUCACUGUUAGCAAGAGAACCUAGGCAUGCCCCAAACUCACCUGCCUAAGGAGAGCGAGUGCUGAUGGAGGGGGAACAUUUUUGGUAUUCAUCUAUCACCUUUUGGUCAUUGUCAUCAUCCAGUGAGGCAGUGCAUUCAGCUUCCAAGCUGCUCAUUCCAAACUACAGUGGGCAUAAUAUAUUGGUGCCAGAAGCAUGGCAACACAUGACGGCUGUCCCCAGCACAUCUUGGACUGUGUUGGUCAUUUACACUUCUGUUGUUAGAAUGUAUAUGUGACAAAUAAAGCUAAUCUUAUUGAGGAGGUGAUGCUUUUUCCUAUGUUGCCUCUGCUUUACUUCAGCUGAGUGAUUCAAUGUUCUGUAUUAAGUAUCUUCUUAGUCUCCCUACAGAAUGAGAAGAAUAGUUCCAGCUUCUCUACCCAGUCUAAUAACCAAAGAUGUCCAUUCGUAGAACUAUUGCAACAAAUCUUUACUGUAACCUCUCUAAAGUCUUUACAUCCCUCUUGAAGAAUGGAACGCAGAAUUAAAUACAAUUUACUGCACAAGAUAAAUUAAGUUAGUUUUGUUAUCUAGAUUUAUAUGAAUCUGUCAAGACUAUAACUUGUUUUAAAAUGACUUGGGUAGUUCUAGUGCUCUCACAGUUCAUUCUUAUCUAUACGUGGCACUUGUAACAUCCCACUGUUUGUUUUUGAAAUUGUGGUAUGUUGAGCUAAUGAUACCAAUACUAACCAUGGGUGAUGAUCAUAGAAGGAGUGGUGGAAAGACCUUUCAUCUGUGCUUAAAAGCAAGCCCAUCAUGAUGUGUAGAUGGGAGAUGAAGAAGGUAGUCAUUUACAUUAGAGAGUGAAGCUCAUCUAACUCCUGUAACCAUAAGUUUAUAACUUCAUACUGCUUUAAAUCAGCAAAUAUUAGAGUUGUGUACAUUACCUUUUGAAAACAUAGUAUACCAAAAUUUAUAUUUGCAGCAAACAUAUGAAUUUCAAUUCAUAAAAGACUAAGAUCUGCAAGCAUGGUGGUUCUAUUGAAAAGACAUCAACAUGAGCUAUUAACUCGUGUUUUCUUUGACCGCAGA